rnacentral:rRNA from 1 species
AGCAGUAGCCGCGGGAAUACGAAGGGGGCUAGCGUUGUUCGGAAUUACUGGGCGUAAAGCGCACGUAGGCGGACAUUUAAGUCAGGGGUGAAAUCCCGGGGCUCAACCCCGGAACUGCCUUUGAUACUGGGUGUCUAGAGUAUGGAAGAGGUGAGUGGAAUUCCGAGUGUAGAGGUGAAAUUCGUAGAUAUUCGGAGGAACACCAGUGGCGAAGGCGGCUCACUGGUCCAUUACUGACGCUGAGGUGCGAAAGCGUGGGGAUCAAACAGGAUUAGAUACCCCCGUAGUCCCUGUCUCUUAUAC